UGCCGCAUGAAACUGAUGGAA
rnacentral:misc_RNA from 1 species